GACGAAGGGGGCUAGCGUUGUUCGGAAUUACUGGGCGUAAAGCGCGUGUAGGCGGUUGGUCAAGUCGGGUGUGAAAGCCUUGAGCUCAACUCAAGAAAUGCACUCGAUACUGGAUGACUUGAGGACCGGAGAGGAUAGUGGAAUUCCCAGUGUAGUGGUGAAAUACGUAGAGAUUGGGAAGAACACCAGUGGCGAAGGCGGCUAUCUGGACGGUUUCUGACGCUAAGACGCGAAAGCGUGGGGAGCAAACAGG
rnacentral:rRNA from 1 species